GACAGGAGCAAGCCGUGCGCAGUGCCCGCAUGCUCUAUGUUCUUCAGCAGCAGGUAAAAGAAAUUCAGGAAGAAUUGGAUAAAUUAAGUCCACGAAAAAUUAAACAUACUAAGAAGUCAUGGGCAAUGUCUAGGCUGGCAGCCGCUCAUCGAGCAGCCAUCCGGGCCUUGCAAGUGUUUAUCACUCAGUUUACUGACCGAGGGGAGCACCCAGUUCCUGCUCGGUGCAGGGAACUGGGCAGCCUUAUUCGUCAGCUGUCACUGUGCUCUGCCAAGCUGGAUGUCGAUCCUUCUGUGCCAGACGUGGUCAUAGACAUCUUGCA
rnacentral:lncRNA from 1 species